rnacentral:rRNA from 1 species
GACGAACGCUGGCGGCGUGCUUAACACAUGCAAGUCGAACGAUGAACCACUUCGGUGGGGAUUAGUGGCGAACGGGUGAGUAACACGUGGGCAAUCUGCCCUUCACUCUGGGACAAGCCCUGGAAACGGGGUCUAAUACCGGAUGAUACUUCCACUCGCAUGGGUGGAGGUUGAAAGCUCCGGCGGUGAAGGAUGAGCCC